rnacentral:rRNA from 1 species
UGCGAGUGAAGAGGGAAGAGCUCAUCAUUGGAAUCUGGCAGUGUUGCACUGUCCGAGUUGUAGAUGAGGAGUAGUCCGUCUGGACUGCAUGGCGUCCAAGUACAAUAGGCCGUCAGUGGGACAUCAUAGAGGGUGACAAUCCCGUCCUUGACGCCAAUGUGCAAGUCUAUUACGAUGGCUAUCUCAGAGAGUCGAGCAGUUUGGGAUUUGCUGCUUAAACAUGGGAGGUAGAUUCCUUCUAAAGCUAAAUACAGGCGAGAGACCGAUAGAGAACAAGUACCGCAAGGGAAAGAUGAAAUAGCACUCUGUGAAGGGAGUCAAAAGGCGUGAAAUUGUUGCGAGAGAAGCGAUUCAAGUCAGCGUAGCUAGGCCCAUCAAGCGUCUUCGCUUUGGACUAGCUUUGCCAGCGGUCUUGUCCCUUGAAGAGACUUGACUUGUAAUAUGUCCAGCCUGGCGUGCACAGGCAGCCCCUUCUGGGGGCCAGUGGCAUGGCUGGUGGAAUGGCUUGCAAUCGACCCGUCUUGAAACACGGACCAAGGAGUCUAACAUGUAUGCGAGUAUAAGGGUGGCAAACCCGUAUGCGCAAUGAAAGUGAUUUUCGGUGAUUGAGAAUGGCCUGAUGACCAGACAAGCAAUAUAUGUCCCUCGUACGGCCAUUGCCCAAGUUCCGUGGUAGAUCCCACGAACAUGGAGUUGGAGCAUACAUGCUAGGACCCGAAAGAUGGUGAACUAUGCCUGGACAAAGCGAAGCCAAAGGAAACUCUGGUGGAGGCUUGUAGCGAUUCUGACGUGCAAAUCGAUCGUCUGAUCUGGGUAUAGGGGCGAAAGACUAAUCGAACCAUCUCAUA